rnacentral:lncRNA from 1 species
UAAUGUGAUCUUGAUGCCCCUGUGAAUGCUUUGUCGUUGACAAAUACUGACUUUAAGGACUGAUUUUUACUGUCCGACGGUCUAAUAGUUAUAAGACACUGAAGCCACAGGCAACUUUUUGCAGCAAACCUUACUUAACUCUCCACGUGCCAUUGGCAUUCUGAAUUCAUUACAGGUAAAUGAUAUUUCAAUAUUUCACGUUGGCUUAAUAUCCUUUACUUGUUUAACAAUUAGCAUCAGGAACUGUUCCUAAUAGUCUUCAACCCUUUAUGUUCGGAGGCUGGAACCUGACCAGAUCGUUGCAUCAUCCUGAGAAACAGAUGCUACACUGUGACAGAACUUCGGGAUUUUAAGAAACGCGUUGUCGCAGUCCCUCUUGACAGAACAUUGUCUGAUGACGUUGGAACCAUCUGCUUACUAGCUACCUUGUAAACAAUGAGUGCAUGACGUGGUCAAUCUCCUAGGGGUGCUGACAGUCGCCAGCUUGGGUCAAGCCCAGAUGACCAGCGAGGUCGCCCGGGCUAGACCUGAGCGAUCAGAUAUCCUGGUCGCCCGAGCCUACCCCGGCGACCAA